CACACUUGAUUUGGUUAAAACAGCAUCAUACAGACGUAAUGCUGCUGAAACUAAUAUAUGUUCAAAAUACAGUCACAAUUGUACAAUCGAUUCUGC